CCCACAACCUCCCCUCUACUCCGAACCAAGGCGCCCUAUAUUCUUCCACGCCCCAGCUGUAUCGUGUGCUCUUGAACGUCACUUAAACUUUCCUGGCUCCCUUUGCCCAGUACCUUGUCUGUGAGACUUGUUCUGAUGAGAGAAGGGUCCUGACUCUGCCCUGUCCAUGCUCCUUGGUUAGCAGAGCGAGGACCAUAACCCACCCUUCAUCCUCCAGAGAACACUCACAGAUGCCCCUUUGCAGGCCAUCUACAAGAUGGUGUCCUCCAUGAUGAAGAUGCCUGAGGACGAGCCCAUGCCCGAGAAGCGAACAGACAAGAUCUUCAGACAGAUGGACACAAACAAAGAUGGCAAAAUGUCCCUGGAAGAAUUCAACAAAGGUGCCAAGAGCGACCCAUCCAUUGUCCGGUUGCUGCAGUGUGAUCCCAGCAGUGCUAGCCAGUUCUGAGGGGAAUGGGCUUUUACACAGUUGUGAGAAACACAGGCUUGACCUGCCAUCUUCAGCUUUGCUUGCAAAAGUGGAUUUCUCUGUGAUUUCUCCUGCUCUCUAGGGACCUGGGUCCAGGCAGCACAUCACACUCACCUGGUCCGGCUGGAUGCAGCUCCCUCCUCUGUCUGAUCCAAUAGAUGUCCCUCCCCAUCCAGUCCAGGCUGGUUCCUUCCAAGGUUUCAAGUGUUCUGGGCUGUAGGGCUCCUUCCCUGCCCACAGAGGGCCUGGAGACCCUUAAGGACAUCAGACAGGACAUUUCAGUAUCUUACGGAGACCAGCUGAUUUAUUCUAUGAUCCCAGGUGACUUUGUGAGGAUAAAGAAGAUGGAGAGUAGAUAGGCAAGCCCUUCCUGUGCAUGGCUCCACCUCCCUUGUUCAUUUUCUCCAACCAAAGCUGCUUGCAUGUAUAUACUGCAGUAUCCUUACUUUUAAUAUAUAAGUUUUGUAUAAAGUGAGAAGGUUCAGCCCCUGUAUUUAAAGCCUCGACUGCCUUUAAAGCAUGGUUCCCUGUGGCCUGUGAUUCCCCCCACCCCCAAGUCUGGCUGUGCUGUGGUAUUUAAGUAUUUAUUUGCCUAAUUACACAGGAGAUACAUGCAUGCCCAAGGCUGUGGACAUCUGCCCUCUGUCCUGCAAAUACAGGUGUUCCUGUGUGCUCCAUCCUUCCUUUCCAUUGACCUGGCAUAUUAAAAUGAUCAAAUAAACCAAGGUCUGUGAGUUUCCUGUGUUGUCACAAGCACCCUGUUCAUGGUUCACUCUCUAGUGAGUGUGGGGAUGAAGCAAGUAAGUGGUAGACAUUGGGAAAGUCCUUGAAUGUAAGGAACAGCCAAGAAUUUAGUCAGAUAGGAGUCCAUGCCAGCCUUUCCCCACUC
rnacentral:lncRNA from 1 species